rnacentral:miRNA from 1 species
GUAUGUGUGUGUGUGUGUAUGUAUCUAUCUAUCUAUCUAUAUAUAUAUAUAUAGAUAGAUAGAUAGAUACAUACACACACGCGCGGCGUGUGU